rfam:Stegodyphus mimosarum contig108186, whole genome shotgun sequence.
GCCUUCGUGGUGUAAUUGGAAGCAUACUCGAUGCGUAUUCGAGAGAUCCAGGGUUCAAAUCCCAGCAAGGGCA